rnacentral:rRNA from 1 species
CUGGGUGGCUAUGCCAGAGGGGAAACACCCGGCUCCAUUCCGAACCCGGAAGUUAAGUCCUCGUGGGCCGAUGAUACUGCUCCCUUCGGGAGUGGGAAAGUAGGUUGCCGCCUUGG